rnacentral:lncRNA from 1 species
GCUUCCUGUGUCUUCCUGGAACGCCUACAUUCAAAAAGAAAUCUUUGUACUUUACUGGAAAUGACCAUUUUGCAACUGAAUUGGGACAGAUUUCUAUAUGUCCUCAGAGGAGACAAAAGUAUUACGACAAGCAAGUGACUUCUAGCACUUCUGGCCUGACAAGAGAGUGACUAUCCUUCAGUUCACCUUCUAGCGUGUUGUUAGAUAUGAAGAUCUUGUAUCAGGGCUCCAAUUUCGUACAUAUGUGUGAGUACAGACAUUUCAGCAAAGAGUUGAAGAUAAGCCCUGAGGAUAUCUUGGCUCCACUGAAAUGACUGGCAGAGCUCCAUUGGGGUACGGAUAUCACUCAGUGUGUCUAAAGGCCUGUAGCAGACUUACCUUUCAGAGCUUGGGUUGAAUCCCAGGCUUGAGAUCCUGCUGUUUUGAUUGGUGGAGCCCAUCCACCAAUCAGAAGGCAGCAAAAGAAACAACAUCGUGCCCCUUUUCUGAGGGGAGGGGGAGAAGAGCUCCCCCGGACCUGACUGAAGACUGUGAACUGUCAGGUCCGGAAGACUUCAGGGGGCAGAGCCUUGGAGCAUAUAAAAGGAGCCGCGUGCCCAGCACAAGGG